rnacentral:rRNA from 1 species
GGGGGUACCGGGGUGCGGAUCUCGGGGCACCUCCCACCCGUGUUGCCCGAACCUAUGUUGCCUCGGCGGGCCCCGCGCCCGCCGACGGCCCCCCUGAACGCUGUCUGAAGUUGCAGUCUGAGACCUAUAACGAAAUUAGUUAAAACUUUCAACAACGGAUCUCUUGGUUCCGGCAUCGAUGAAGAACGCAGCGAAAUGCGAUAACUAAUGUGAAUUGCAGAAUUCAGUGAAUCAUCGAGUCUUUGAACGCACAUUGCGCCCUCUGGUAUUCCGGAGGGCAUGCCUGUCCGAGCGUCAUUGCUGCCCUCAAGCCCGGCUUGUGUGUUGGGCCCCGUCCCCCCCGCCGGGGGGACGGGCCCGAAAGGCAGCGGCGGCACCGCGUCCGGUCCUCGAGCGUAUGGGGCUUCGUCACCCGCUCUAGUAGGCCCGGCCGGCGCCAGCCGACCCCCAACCUUUAAUUAUCUCAGGUUGACCUCGGAUCAGGUAGGGAUACCCGCUGAACUUAAGCAUAUCAAUAAACGGAGGAA